AUUGAACGCUGGCGGAAUGCUUUACACAUGCAAGUCGAACGGCAGCACGGACUUCGGUCUGGUGGCGAGUGGCGAACGGGUGAGUAAUAUAUCGGAACGUGCCCAGUCGUGGGGGAUAACGUAGUGAAAAUUACGCUAAUACCGCAUACGAUCUAUGGAUGAAAGCGGGGGAUCGCAAGACCUCGCGCGAUUGGAGCGGCCGAUAUCAGAUUAGGUAGUUGGUGAGGUAAAGGCUCACCAAGCCAACGAUCUGUAGCUGGUCUGAGAGGACGACCAGCCACACUGGAACUGAGACACGGUCCAGACUCCUACGGGAGGCAGCAGUGGGGAAUUUUGGACAAUGGACGCAAGUCUGAUCCAGCCAUUCCGCGUGCAGGACGAAGGCCUUCGGGUUGUAAACUGCUUUUGUACAGAACGAAAAGGUCUCUAUUAAUACUAGGGGCUCAUGACGGUACUGUAAGAAUAAGCACCGGCUAACUACGUG
rnacentral:rRNA from 1 species